CAGUUUCCUGGGCCUCUUGGUUAGUGGUUCGCUGCCGAGGGACGUGAAGUCAAGGCACAUACUGAGAUAAUAGUAAUAUAGACCGGGUCGUGACUAUUACUAUCACCAUUAUUCAAUUAUCCACUGUAAGGAUUCAGUGGGAUUGUGGUGAAAAUCUAAACAUGCAUGUCAGCGUGUUACCACGUGGCGGAAGGAGCCCACGUGUGCCCGCUGACUGCUGCUGGGGGACGCGACUGUUUACUAAAAGCGGGACUAGAGUUAUUACAAAUAAUGACAGUGCGAUAUGAUGGUGAAGAACUACUUUGAGUUAAGCAUUUAGCAGUGUUUCAACACUACUAAAGAAUGCAACAAAAAGCAUUGUAUUCAAAUUUGAUACCGAGUGCAGACGUGAAAGAUGGCCGCUACUGGUUCAAGACUCAAGACUCCCUUGAUGGUGUCAUGUUACCGGCUGGACUGGACCAGGCUUGCUGCCCAAUGCAUCUAUUGAAGAUGGUUUGAAGCGCGCAUCAUGUGACCGGCUUGAAGUGAACAUCUGGAUCAUUCUGAUGGAGCAGACUUCAUUACCCUCUGUUGAAGAUGGAUUGAGGCCCAUCGUGGGGACGUGACCAAAUUGCUGUGAACAUUUGGAUCCUCCAAUGAUGCACACCUCCUUCCCUUUUAUUGAAGAUUGUUUGAAGCGCACGUCAUGUGACCGGCUUGAAGUGAACAUCUGGAUCAUUCCGAUGGAGCAGACUUCAUUGCCCUCUAUUGAAGAUGGUUUGAGGCCCAUGAUUGUCAUGUGACUGACAUUAGGUGAACAUUGGGAUCCUCCAAUGGCACAGACCUCCUUCCCUCUAUGUAUAAGCCCUGGCAGAGCAGGAGCCACUUGAGGGAUGACAUCCAACAAGUAACGGAUCGAUUACAAACAGGAAACGACAAGCCUAUGUUGACUUGUGCCGUUUUUGGAAGACUCUAGAAAUUCAUCAAACUCAAUUAAGAGGUGUUAUGCUGAUGUGCUGCCCUACACCUCUAUGAAAUGUCCUCUAUUGAAUCUGUCUUAUAAUAAAGACUUUGAUAAAAAAUCGAAUUGUACUGUUGGAUUGAACAAAUGGUUAGUCUUGACUGGGAUUUUCAGAAAUGAACACUGUUUGUGAAAUUACCUUAAACUGCACUUCAAUAAAAAGUUACUAAAUCAA